GAGGGUAUAGCUCAUUGGUAGAGCACAUGCUUAGCAUGCAUCAGGUCCUGAGUUCAAUCCCCAGUAUCUCUG
rnacentral:tRNA from 1 species